GAUGAACGCUGGCGGCGUGCCUAAUACAUGCAAGUCGAGCGAACGGACGAGAAGCUUGCUUCUCUGAUGUUAGCGGCGGACGGGUGAGUAACACGUGGAUAACCUACCUAUAAGACUGGGAUAACUUCGGGAAACCGGAGCUAAUACCGGAUAAUAUUUUGAACCGCAUGGUUCAAAAGUGAAAGACGGUCUUGCUGUCACUUAUAGAUGGAUCCGCGCUGCAUUAGCUAGUUGGUAAGGUAACGGCAUACCAAGGCAACGAUGCAUAGCCGACCUGAGAGGGUGAUCGGCCACACUGGAACUGAGACACGGUCCAGACUCCUACGGGAGGCAGCAGUAGGGAAUCUUCCGCAAUGGGCGAAAGCCUGACGGAGCAACGCCGCGUGAGUGAUGAAGGUCUUCGGCUCGUAAAACUCUGUUAUUAGGGAAGAACAUAUGUGUAAGUAACUGUGCACAUCUUGACGGUACCUAAUCAGAAAGCCACGGCUAACUACGU
rnacentral:rRNA from 1 species